rnacentral:rRNA from 1 species
GACGAACGCUGGCGGCGGGCUUAACACAUGCAAGUCGAACGAAAAGGCCGGGCUUUUGUGGGGUGGUCGAGUGGAGAACGGGUGAGUAGCACGUGGGUAACCUGCCCUUGAGGUAGGGAUAGCUUAAGAACAGUGGGGCUAAUACCGGGUAGGAGCUACUGCUGCAUGGUGGGGGUGGGUAAGUUUCGGCGGUUGGGGGGGGACUCGCGGCUUAUCAGCUUGGUGGUGGGGUAGUGGCUUACCAAGGCUUUGACGCGUAGCCGGCCUGGGAGGGUGACCGGCCACACUGGGACUGAGAUACGGCCCAGACUCCACCGGUACGCAGCGGUGGGGAAGAGUGUACUAUGGGCGGAAGCCAGAUGUAGUAACGCCGCGUGCGGGAUGACGGGCUGCGGGUUGGAAUGCGCUGUCGCCUGAGACGAAGAGUUAGUGACGGUAACGGGUAAAGAAGCCCCGGCUAACUACGUG